CAGAUAGAAUUAGAGUCUAAAGUCCUUUAUUUAUCCAGAGAACAGAUAUACCAGAGGCAGUAGAAACCAUAGCAAGCUUAAUCACCUGGUCUCAUUCAUGGGCCUUAACUUUGAUCUGGACUUUUAUGCUAAGUACAGACAGUCAAAAAGCCUCAGGUUGAAUGGAUUCAGUCUCUGCAGGUUAGUCUAAGCUUCAGAGAU
rnacentral:sRNA from 1 species